rnacentral:rRNA from 1 species
CCUACGGGGUGCAGCAGUGAGGAAUAUUGGUCAAUGGGCGCUAGCCUGAACCAGCCAAGUAGCGUGAAGGAUGACUGCCCUAUGGGUUGUAAACUUCUUUUAUAUGUGAAUAAAGUGCAGUAUGUAUACUGCUUUGCAUGUACCUUAUGAAUAAGGAUCGGCUAACUCCGUGCCAGCAGCCGCGGUAAUACGGAGGAUCCGAGCGUUAUCCGGAUUUAUUGGGUUUAAAGUGAGCGUAGGCGGGUUGUUAAUUCAGUUGUGAAAGUUUGCGGCUCAACCGUAAAAUUGCAGUUGAUACUGGCAGCGUGGAGUAAAGUAGAGGGAGGCGGAAUUCGUGGUGUAGCGGUGAAAUGCUGAGAUAUCACGAAGAACUCCGAUUGAGAAGGCAGCCUGCUGGACUGUAACUGACGCUGAUGCUCGAAAGUGUGGGUAUCAAACAGGAUUAGAUACCCGUGUAGUC